rnacentral:rRNA from 1 species
UACGUAGGGGGCAAGCGUUGUUCGGAAUCACUGGGCGUAAAGGGAGCGUAGGUGGGUCAGUAAGUUAGGAGUUUAAUGCGCAGGCUUAACCUGUGACUUGCUCUUAAUACUGCUAAUCUUGAGUAUGGAAGAGGGAGAUGGAAUUCCAGGUGUAGCGGUGGAAUGCGUAGAUAUCUGGAAGAACACCAUUAGCGAAGGCGGUCUCCUGGUCCAAUACUGACACUGAGGCUCGAAAGCUAGGGGAG